rnacentral:rRNA from 1 species
AUUGAACGCUGGCGGCAGGCCUAACACAUGCAAGUCGGACGAUAGCACAGAGGAGCUUGCUCCUCGGGUGACGAGUGGCGGACGGGUGAGUAAUGUCUGGGGAUCUGCCCGAUAGAGGGGGAUAACCACUGGAAACGGUGGCUAAUACCGCAUAACGCCGCAAGACCAAAGAGGGGGACCUUCGGGCCUCUCACUAUCGGAUGAACCCAGAUGGGAUUAGCUAGCAGGCGGGGUAACGGCCCACCUAGGCGACGAUCCCUAGCUGGUCUGAGAGGAUGACCAGCCACACUGGAACUGAGACACGGUCCAGACUCCUACGGGAGGCAGCAGUGGGGAAUAUUGCACAAUGGGCGCAAGCCUGAUGCAGCCAUGCCGCGUGUAUGAAGAAGGCCUUCGGGUUGUAAAGUACUUUCAGCGGGGAGGAAGGCGAUAAGGUUAAUAACCUUGUCGAUUGACGUUACCCGCAGAAGAAGCACCGGCUAACUCCGUGCCAGCAGCCGCCGUAA